rnacentral:rRNA from 1 species
CCUACGGGAGGCAGCAGUGAGGAAUAUUGGACAAUGGGCGCAAGCCUGAUCCAGCCAUGCCGCGUGCAGGAUGACGGUCCUAUGGAUUGUAAACUGCUUUUGCACAGGAAGAAACAACGCUACGUGUAGCGUCUUGACGGUACUGUGAGAAUAAGGAUCGGCUAACUCCGUGCCAGCAGCCGCGGUAAUACGGAGGAUCCAAGCGUUAUCCGGAAUCAUUGGGUUUAAAGGGUCCGUAGGCGGUUUAGUAAGUCAGUGGUGAAAGCCCAUCGCUCAACGGUGGAACGGCCAUUGAUACUGCUAAACUUGAAUUAUUAGGAAGUAACUAGAAUAUGUAGUGUAGCGGUGAAAUGCUUAGAGAUUACAUGGAAUACCAAUUGCGAAGGCAGGUUACUACUAAUUGAUUGACGCUGAUGGACGAAAGCGUGGGUAGCGAACAGGAUUAGAUACCCUGGUAGUCCACGCCGUAAACGAUGGAUACUAGCUGUUGGGAGCAAUUUCAGUGGCUAAGCGAAAGUGAUAAGUAUCCACCUGGGGAAGUACGUUCGCAAGAAUUGAAACUCAAAUUGAAUUGACCGGNGUUGAGACGNGCGACGGACGACGACGAGGGAGGAGG